UCAACAGCAGACCUAACUACUAUAGAGUAGGAGGCUGAGAUUGCAAACCCCUGGGGGCAGGGCCCUGCCUCUGCAAGUCCUGCUUAAUUCCAGGGACUUGGUGUUGCACCAGGAAAUCAUCAAGUUCCGGUGGUACCUUGAUUAGCCCCUGUCAACAGCUUCUUACUGGUGAAUGGCUUCUUACAUCCGCUUGGGACUUCACAAACAGUGGCAUUUUUUUCUCAUUGGAGCCAAAUGUUUCUCCAGAAAGAAAGUUUGUCAGCCCCCGGUUAAGGACUGCAUUUCUACUGUGACCUCAAAGCAGCCCGGUUUAGCAGAGAGAGCUGUGGACUGUUCUGCCAUUUAACUCUGCGAAAGACCUGAGAGACCUGACUGCCAAUCCGGCCACAGUUCUUUCAAUGAGAAAAGAAAAAGGGCCCAACGUGCUCAUGGCAACUGAAGUUUAUGGUUCAGAUUUCCAUAUGAACUCAGCAAGAAGUACAUGGACUGACAUUGGAACGGACCGUGGCAACUCUAAGUGCUGCUUCUCACCCAAAGGCGCUGAUGAGCUCGUGAUAAUGAAACUACACUUCUGAACCCAAACCUUGACCUGCAUUCUGGAGCAAUUAAAAGAAAACCUUAAUUUUGAAAGUACUGAGCACAGAGGGAGAAAAAAGCUGUUCCUCUGCAAGCUUUCUUUAUAUAUUUAGAAAUAUGGCUUAAUUUUUAAGGCUUGAAGACCGCAUUUUUAAAACGUCUAAAACUGUUCAGAAUCUAUA